rnacentral:rRNA from 1 species
CACGGAGUUAGCCGAUCCUUAUUCCUUCGGUACAUUCAGCUAUCUACACGUAGGUAGGUUUAUUCCCGAAUAAAAGCAGUUUACAACCCAGAGGGCCGUCUUCCUGCACGCGGCAUGGCUGGUUCAGGGUUGCCCCCCAUUGACCAAUAUUCCUUACUGCUGCCUCCCGUAGGAGUCUGGUCCGUGUCUCAGUACCAGUGUGGGGGGUCAUCCUCUCAGAUCCCCUAGCCAUCGUCGCCUUGGUGGGCCGUUACCCCGCCAACUAGCUAAUGGCACGCAUGCCCAUCCUUCUCCCAUAAAUGUUUGACCCCAUUACGAUGCCGUAUCGUGGUCUUAUGCGGUAUUAAUCCGAAUUUCUUCGGGCUAUCCCCCAGAAAAGGGUAGGUUGCAUACGCGUUACGCACCCGUGCGCCGGUCUCUAGGAAGCAAGCCUCCUAUACCCCUCGACUUGCAUGUAUUAGGCCUGCCGCUAGCGUUCAUCCUGAGCCAGGAUCAAACUC